rnacentral:rRNA from 1 species
GUUCAGGGAGGUAGUGACAAUAAAUACCUUACAGAGGUCUCGUUAACCGAGAUCUCUCAAACGGAAUGAGUACAACGUGAAUCCUUUAACGAGGAUCGACUGGAGGGCAAGCCUGGUGCCAGCAGCCGCGGUAAUUCCAGCUCCAGUAGCGUAUAUUAAAGCUGUUGCGGUUAAAAAGCUCGUAGUUGGAUAUCAGUGCGUGUCCGGUCCGGUAUGCCUGGCGGCGGCGCUCGCGCGUCACUGCUGGGCUCCCAAAUAUCGGCUGGCCGCAUUCAAUCGUGCCGGAUCCGUCGCCGGGCCGUUCUUCGGAGGGGCCUGGUGGCGACCGGCGACGUUACCUUGAACAAAUUAGAGUGCUCAAAGCAGGCUCUGAAUGCCUGUAUACAUAUUCAUGGAAUUGGAGAAUACGUCCCUGGCUCGAUUUGGUUGGUUUUGAGAGUCGAAGGGAAAUGAUUAAUAGGGACUGACGGAGGCAUUCGUAUUGCGACGCGAGGGGUGAAAUCCUGUGACCGUCGCACGACGAACUACUGCGAAAGCAUUUGCCGAGAAUGUUUUCAUUAGUCAAGAACGAAAGUUAGAGGUUCGAAGGCGAUCAGAUACCGCCCUAGUUCUAACCGUAAACGAUGUCGACCAGCAAUCCGCAACGGUCACUACACGGACUGUGCGGGCAGCUUCCCCGGGGAAACCAGAGUUUUUGGACUCCGGGGGAAGUAUGGUUGCAAAGCUGAAACUUAAAGGAAUUGACGGAAGGGCACCACCAGGAGUGGAGCUUGCGGCUUAAUUUGACUCAACACGGGACAACUCACCAGGCCCGGACACCGUAAGGAUUGACAGACUGAUAGCUCUCUCUUGAUUCAGUGGGUGGUGGUGCAUGGCCGUUCUUAGUUGGUGGAGUGAUUUGUCUGGUUUAUUCCGAUAACGAACGAGACUCUGGCCUAUUAAACUUGACACUGUCAGUCUCUUGUGACUGCGGUGGGCUUCUUA